rnacentral:misc_RNA from 1 species
CCGACCGUUUGCACACCCCUACUUAAUAUUAAUUCGACAGACCUUAGCAUAGCCAUGUAGUCUAUCCUCUGCAUUAUUAUCAAGUUAGUAGCCAAUGCUGAGUAAAUUGGACUCACAAUUGAGGUUUUACUCAAUAAAGUUGUGCUAUUGGCUUUGUUCAGAAGUAAUAGUUGUACCUUAAGUAUGCUGUGUCAAACUCAAUUCAACCCCUGCAGUCAAAUGGGCUUGACGUGGUCUAUGAAUUUUCUUAAGGUUUUCAGUAGAGCAUUGAUGCAUCAACAGUUUUCCCCCUUUAUAUAGAUUUUUUGGUUUAAUGCUUCUAAAUUGGCUAUUUGCUCAUGCACACGGUUGCUUUUGCUUCCUAUUAGACUGGCAUGUAAGAAGCCUACAACAGGGAGCAAAACUGACUUUAAUCUGGUUGCAAGAUGUCAAUUUAAUAAAAAUAAAAAAAGAUCAGGAAAUCACUUAAAGCCUGUUUAGUAACAGAAGAUACGAGUCAAUGUUUUUUGUUUUUAAUAAAGUUUUGAAAUAUUUUUAUGACAGGAAUUGAAAAAGCUUAUAGAGGCUCAAAAUAUGUAACCUUGUUCUUCCUUCUCUCUCUUUUAUGAGUGUUAAAGAACAUACAGCAUGUUUUUCAGGAUUCUCUUGAGAGCAAAAAUUCCACCUGUGGAGACUUCCUUGGUCAUCUGAAUGGAUCUUUGGCAGUUUUUGGUGAUCGAUUACCAAUUGAUGGAAGGUACUUUAGUACUUUUUGCACCAUAUUCUUUACUGUUAUUAUUGCCAGUUGCUUGUUAGUUUAGUUGUACCUGUUUUAUAAGAUCAUACAUGCUGCCUGUGAAAAUGGGAAACAAAGUUUCUUUGCCUUUGGAUUUUCCUGAUCAGAUAUUCAAAGGUGGGUAAUGCUUAACCAUCCACUUUUUUCUUUCUUUUUCUUUGCACUCCCAUCCAAACAUACUGUUCUCAUGAAGAAGUUGGUUAUUUGGUUACAUGAUGCUCCUCUCCAGACCCUUGCAAAGCAGGGAGCACAAUGCACUUGGGAAUUCCCUUUUUAUAGUGUUUAUUAUAGGGAUUACAGUUCAACGUUAUUGAUUUUGUGCUAGUAUGUUAUCCAUCCACCACAAGGUGUUAUGAAUUAAGGGUUUUUUCUGUGCCUAGCUAAUUGUUUAAAUCGUUACUCUGGGCAUUGGAACUUUCAAGAUCGAGGCCUUCACAACAAUGAAAGAUAAUAUGCAUCGUGUCUGAGAAGUUGGUCCUGUUUAAAGUGGAUUAACCGGAAACAAUCUUGUAUUGCUAAUCUUUAAUUUCACCAUAGAUAAUUUGGUUUUUUCUGAAGAUGAUAAUUAUAUGGCUUACUUGUCAUGUUAAUGAAUAAAGAACAGUGAUAACUGGCAAGAAGGGGGUUGGUUAAAAUUUAUGAAGUCAAUGAAUAUGGAUGAGAAGGAUGAAACUCCUUUUCAUUAUUUACAUUCAUAAAUUUGGUUUUGAUUUGAACUAAGUAUGAGCACCUGUUCUAUAGAUAUAAUGAUGCAUAUGUCAUUCCCAGAGAUAAAUUAACAUGUGGUUUAACUCAAAGAAAGAUGAUGCCCGUAAUUUCUGCUGAAAACAGUUUGAAGACCACUGUUCUACAGAAUUAGUAGUAUUUUUCCUUAAAAGGCAGAGGCAGGAGCUUCAAUUUGUGAAGGAUAAGUUAUACUUGGGCUUUAUAUGUUGUUUGGAAAGAGGAGAAAAAUUAAGGCAAAAAAAGAAUACAAUUUGGAGAUGAUAGCUUUAGCACUUCCCUUUAUUGCUGAUAGGUCUUGGUUCGUUACUAGCAUGCUUUUGUUUGUGUUGCAGGGUAGCAUACUCAAAGAUGGCAGAGGAGAUCAGUGAAUUGCUUCUAUCUGAU